rnacentral:rRNA from 1 species
UACGUAGGAGGCAAGCGUUUGUCCGGAAUUACUGGGCGUAAAGCGCGUGUAGGUGGUGGGACAAGUCUGCUGUGAAAGCGCCUGGCUUAACCGGGCGAGGUCGGCGGAAACUGUCCGACUAGAGGACGGUAGAGGGGGGGUGGAAUUCCCCGGUGUAGUGGUGAAAUGCGUAGAGAUCGGGAGGAACACCUGUGGCGAAGGCGGCCCCCCUGGGCCGGCCCUGACACUGAGACGCGAAGGCGUGGGGGAGCGAACGGG